CUCUUCUUUUCCUCCUCUCUCUUUUGCUCUCAGGUGGUAUAGAGGAAGUCCUUGUUGCCCAGCCCUGCCCUAGGGUGUGAUGUUCCUGCCCUCAGUCCAGCCAGAACAGCUUAUCUACCAUUAGCUCAUUAUAUCCUGUAGAUAAAGUUCUGUCCUGGUGUGUUCCUUGGCUGGACUCAAGUCAGAAGCAAGGCUCCCUUUGUUCACCUGCAAAGGACGGAUUUCCCAUAAACCCAAGCUGAUCUCAUUCAGACUCACCCAGGAAUCUCACACGUCUUCUCACUCUCCACCAGCCCUGACACCCGAAGCCUUUGCCUGCCUCCCCCGCCUGCAAAUCACAAGGGAAUCACAAUUCUCUGGUGGUAUCCUCCCUCGUCCCUGUGCUUAAAGAAAACUUAUUUUAACGCGUGCCUCUGUCUGAGAAUCCUGUCAAAAUAAAAGCUCCUAAAACAUGAA